UGUUCCAUGGUGUAAUAUGGUUAGCACUCUGGAUUCUGAAUCCAGCGAUCCGAGUUCAAAUCUCGGUGGGACCU